rnacentral:misc_RNA from 1 species
GGAAGUUAACAACGAUGAUGAGAGGUUAUAAUUCUUGGCUGAUAUAUCCAGACUAUAUUUGCAAACACUAUCGGUGUUUGAUUUAUUUUGAAAUUGGUCAAAUUUUUCUUCCUUUUGUUAAUGGUUUAUAAUGAAUGCUUCAGUAUGUAUUUGUAUAUUGUACUGCUUUCUCCCAUGUUCUUAGUUAUGUGUACUUAAUUCUGUUUUCUUAUUUAAGUAUAACAAGAAUAUCAAUCCUAACCCUACUGCUCUAUGUAGGCUGCAGAAAAACCUUAACGUGUGUUGCUAAAUGAGCAUAGCUGUUUGUGUGCAGAACAGAUAUCAGUUUACAUUAUCCCACAAUAGGAUUGGUCAAAGUGUUGAUUAGUUGUAAUUACAGGAACAAUACUUUUAUAGUGUAUAUGGUUACUUAUUCGUUAUUUAUAUAUCUUUAAACUAGUAGGAAUGCUACAACUUUAAUUACCCCCUUUUAAUUAUCAUUUGGAUUAUCUAUAGCUGAGAAGAGCUACUUUUAGGAUUUAUUGUUUAAAGUUUAUAUCCAAAUUUUGUCAGCCUGGAAGGUAUUAAUAAUCUGUUCCCCAUUGAUGGCAGUGCUACUCAUGUUCUUUAGCCUGUUGUAAUGAUUUUACUCUUUUAACAUGUUGGCAUGACAAGCCCCCAUUAUUUUAUUUUGCUUUAGUGGUGAUGAUGAUGAUGAUGAC